rnacentral:rRNA from 1 species
CGCGCAGGCGGUUCUGUAAGUCCGACGUGAAAGCUCCUGGCUUAACUAGGAGAGGCCGUUGGAUACUGCGGAACUUGAGGUUAGGAGAGGGAAGCGGAAUUCCCGGUGUAGUGGUGGAAUGCGUAGAUAUCGGGAGGAACUCCAGAGGCGAAGGCGGCUUCCUGGCCUACACCUGACGCUGAGGCGCGAAAGCGUGGGGAGCGAACA